AUUGUCUUUAUAUGUGUUUGUACUUCUUGUAAAAGUUACAGCAAAUGUUUUUGUGCAGAACAUCAUCUUUUUGCCCCUGUGUUUGUAGGGAUUGCCAGUUGCAAUGUGAUCACACCGCCUAUUAGGAGAUGCCAGUCAGUCCAGUAGUGCAUCAUGUCUGCUGGACUGACUGGUGCUAUGUGUACAGAUGAUCCGGACUGGCAACAGGAAACUUUCAGAACUGACACUGAGUGACAAGAGAGUGAUGCUGUGUUUUCUGGAACGCAUCUCUCCAAAUUUGGAGGAGGCUACGUAUGAAGAUCCUGAGACUUUGUUUGCUGAGAUGGUGAGAACAUUGUCUUUAUAUGUGUUUGUACUUCUUGUAAAAGUUACAGCAAAUGUUUUUGUGCAGAACAUCAUCUUUUUGCCCCUGUGUUUGUAGGGAUUGCCAGUUGCAAUGUGAUCACACCGCCUAUUAGGAGAUGCCAGUCAGUCCAGUAGUGCAUCAUGUCUGCUGGACUGACUGGUGCUGUAAGUAUAUUUUCCUGUCAAUCUUCCAUAUUUGACUACUUUUAGUAUUGAAGUAUUCUUUGUGUAGAUGAGAAAAACAAAUACAGUCCAUUUGAUUUUACAUGUCUGUCUUUUCUCCCUCUGUUUAUCUGUAUGUGUGUGUCUGGUGGAGUCCCACUACACAGAUGUGUACAAAUGACCCUGAAAGGCAAAAGUAAACUUUCAGAACUGACACUGAGUGAAAAGGUAACACAGUAUAGCAAUAAGAACACCACAACAUGUUCAAUACUCAACAUGUAAAGACAUGCGUCUGUUUCCUUAUCAAAUAACACUCCUUACUGUUUCUCAGACACAGUCUUACUCUGUAAGUCUAGGCUGAAAACCUACU